rnacentral:lncRNA from 1 species
AAAAACAAAAAUAAAUAAAAAAGAACAAAAUUUGUAUAAAAAUCCAAGUGGACAUAAACUGAAUCAGGACUAAACGUUCUAAAAUUAAAGCUAUAGGGACCGUGUACAUUUGGCUGUUUGUAGAGUCCUUCCCCCAGUUAUAGAGGGGACAACCCUGGUACACUUCUUUAAUCCCAGCACUUGUGAAGCAGAUUCAGGUAUAUCUGUGUGUUUGGGAGCAGCCUGGUCUACAGAGUUCUAACAUGCAAAGAGUGACCCUGUCUCAAAAACAAGGAAACAACAAAAUAAAAAAAAAAAAACAAAAAAAAAAUCUCUUACAGUUCUGUUUGGACUGGUCUAGAGAUGAGUGCUCAUUAAAUAUCCCUAAAAUCUCUCAGAAAUAUAGAAACAAAGUCAAAUGUUCUUAAAGAUCACAUGAUCUAGAAUAAUGUAAAAUAAAAAACAGGAAUGUUUCCAGACCUGUCCAACAUGAACACAGUAUAGCUAGACCAGUUGUUCUCACCUUCCUAAUUCUGCGACCCUUUAAUGCAGUUCCUCAUAUUGUGGUGACAUCUAACCAUAAAAUUACUUUUGUUGCUACUCCGUAACUGUAAUUUUGCUACUGUUAUGAAUUAUGAAUAUUUUUGGAGAUAGAAUUCCCUUUUGUCAAAGAGGUUACAACCCAAAGGUUGAGAGCUACUGAGAUAGACUUUUUUUUUCUUACCAGGGUUUAAACAAGUUUCAUUCUACUGAGUAUUUAAAAUGCUAAAAGGAGAAAUGAAACCCAAGGGUAGAAUAGAGGAAGGGACGAAGGGGAUGGUCUUGCUUUUGUGGUGUUGGUGACAUUUGCCUGACUUGUUAACAAGAGCAAUUUUAGUGCUGAUACCUUGUAACACGCCUGUAACUGUUGAGUGGACAGAAAUGUAAGUGGAGUGAAAGCUAAAUGAACUCCUCAACAGUAAUUUUAAUUUAUAAAAAGCAUCCCACAACCUUAAGUUUGUUCAGGCUUGAGAGAUGUAGUUAACAAAUCAGCUUUGGGGUCAUUCCUAAGGAAACAAGCUUAGGCUGAUCUGCUAUGGCCUCCUGUUUUUACACAGAAUGGAGGUAGUUGUGCUUGGGUCUAUAGUAUGCAGAGCUGUGCAAUGAAGGGCAUCCUACUACAGUGCCCACAAAGGUUUUCUUCAGUGGCAUGUUGGCUACCAUAGCUCGUGGGUGCUAGGGACUCUAAGAGUUAAGAAUAACAACAUAUGUAAUUAGAACCACUAGAAAUAACAAGGAAAACCACCUACGUGCAAAGCGUUCAGGGAAACUCCAUUUGUGGUAAGGUUAUACAUUAUCAUUUAGAGAGAAUAGUCACUGAAGGCUAACAUAGGACUUGUUCUAAAUUAUGAAAAAGAAAAAUAGGGAGAGAAAGCUGAUGGAUCAUUAUUGUUUUGUUUUCUGAGACAGGGUUUCUCUGUGCAGCCCUGGUCAUCCUGGAACUAGCUCUAUAGCCCAGGCUGGCCAUAAACUCGGAGAUCCACCUGCCUGUGCCUCUGCCUCCUAGUGCGGAGACUAAAGGUAUACAUCCCCACAUGCAGCUUGUUGAUGGAUGCUUUUUCAAAGUGCCUUCCAAAGGUCUGGUGGAAUGGAAUCUUAUCUCAUAUAGUCAAAGGUAAGGACUGAAAGGAUUUAAGAGUUCUUUUAAAUAGCUCAGAGGCUGGGACUGCAGCUCAGUUGGCAGAGCACUUUCCUAACACACGUGACAUCUUGAGUUUCAUCCCCAACAGUGCAUACACCAGGUUUGGUGAUGCAUACCCAAGUUCCUAUUAUUUAGGAGGUAGAAAGAGGAGAAUCAAAAGUUCAAGGGCAUUUUCACCACAAAAGAUUCAAGACCAACUUGUGUAACUGUGGGCUUUUCUUCCUGACCACUUUGUUCCCAGAAAUAAUGAGACUCUGGGGGGCUGGUGAGAUGGCUCAGCGGGUAAGAGCACCCGACUGCUCUUCCGAAGGUCAGGAGUUCAAAUCCCAGCAACCACAUGGUGGCUCACAACCAUCCCUAAGAGAUCUGACUCUCUCUUCUGGAGUGUCUGAGGACAGCUACAGUGUACUUACAUAUAAUAAAUAAAUAAAUAAAUAAAUCU